rnacentral:sRNA from 1 species
UACGACACAUCUGUUGUCGCACUACAUU